UCAUGUGAUGCAGGAAGAGAGCGCAAAUGAUAUGGAAUGUGAGCAACUGCCAGCAGGGACGCUGCAUCAAGUGACCAUUCACCGAGACCCUAUAUAUGGCUUUGGCUUCGUGGCCGGCAGUGAGAGGCCUGUGGUGGUUCGAUCUGUGAGGCCAGGAGGCCCCUCUGAGGACAAGCUCCUGGCUGGUGACCAGAUUGUGGCUAUUAAUGAGGAGGACGUGAGUGAAGCCCCCAGGGAGAGGUUCAUAGAACUCAUCAGGAGCGCUAAGGAAUUCAUCGUUCUUACAGUUCUGCACACUCAUCAGUCCCCCAAAUCUGCCUUCAUCAGUGCUGCGAAGAAGGCCAAGCUGAGGUCCAAUCCUGUGAAGGUCCGAUUUUCUGAGCAGGUGGCAGUUGGAGAAAUAGACGCAAAAAUGAUGAAGAAGGAAGCUCUCCUCCUCAUCCCCAACGUCCUGAAGGUUUUCUUAGAGAACGGGCAGAUCAAGUCAUUCACAUUUGAUGGCCGGACCACUGUUAAGGAUGUAAUGGUGACAUUACAGGACCGCCUCUCCCUGAGGUACAUUGAGCACUUUGCUCUUGUUCUUGAAUAUGCUGGGCCAGAACAGAGUCACAAGUUCCUGCUUCUUCAAGACAAGCAGCCCCUGGCUUAUGUGGUACAGAGGACACACUAUCAUGGAAUGAAAUGCCUGUUCCGAAUAAGCUUCUUUCCCAAAGACCCCGUGGAGCUGCUGCGUCGGGAUCCUGCUGCUUUCGAGUACCUUUACAUCCAGAGUCGGAAUGAUGUUAUCCGAGAACGCUUUGGAAUGGAUCCCAAACCGGAGAUGCUUCUGGGCCUUGCUGCCCUCCACAUCUAUAUCACUGUCUCAGCCACUCGGCCUAGUCAGAAGAUCUCACUCAAGAAUGUGGAGAAGGAGUGGGGCCUGGAACCCUUUCUCCCCCCCUCCCUCCUACAAGGCAUCAAAGAGAAGAACCUUCGGAAAUCUCUCUCACAGCAACUGAAGGCUCACCAAAUGCAUCCUUCUAGUGGCACCAAGGGCUCUGCAAUUCAGGCAAAGCUCCAGUACCUUCGAAUUCUGAAUGAACUUCCCACCUUCACCGGCGUUUUGUUCAACACUGUGGGUCUGGACGAGAAGCAGUCAGCUACCACUCUCUUAGUGGGACCCCGUCACGGCAUCAGCCAUGUUAUUGACCUCAAAACCAACCUCACCACUGUGCUGUCCGAGUUCAGCAAGAUCAGUAAGAUCCAGCUGUUCCGGGAGAACCAGGGCGUGGCCCGUGUGGAGACCAGCAUCAUGGAUGCCAAGCCUCUGGUGCUGUUGAUGGAGUGGCCUGAAGCCACCAACUUUGCCUGCCUGAUUGCGGGGUACUGCCGCCUCUUGCUGGAUUCCAGGAAGAUGGUCUUCUCUAGGCCUGCCAGCCAGCCUCUUCCACCUCCAAUGAUCAAGGCAGAUUACAUGCACAGUGCCCACCGCCCUGUCACUGGGGGCCACCUGGGGAAAAAGGAGAGUAGUUAUGUGGGCAGCAUGGGCGCCAGCCCCAGGAAGUCGAGCCGCUGCACGCCCCCGCCUACCGACUCUGAGCUUGUCAGCUUCUGCUACCUCCACAUGCGGGAACAAAGGAAGGAGCAGGAAAGCCGGACAGAUGUCAACGAGAACCUAAUCUUCUUUGAGGAGACCAGGCCCCGGACCAAGUCUGACCCCACGUCCAAAAGCUCUGGCCAAGGUUACGAUGUGGUCCCUGAUGACUUUGAUGCAGCCAGCCUAGACCAUGAGCCUUGUGCCAGCAGGGCCCGGUCCUACACCUUGGACAAUUCCCUAGGGGCUGAAGCCCUGAAUUUCUACUGUGACUCAUGCAAAGCCAAAUUCCAGGAGCAGCAGGGCCCUCGCAAAGGCGGGAGGCCUGGCUCCUCUCGUGACAAUAUGGUAGACUUGAUGUCCCUCCCACCACCUGGGAGUGAGGAGGAAGAGGAAGAGGAAGAUGAAACAACUUCUCUGUUGCCUGCCAUUGCUGCCCCACCCCCUGGUUUCCGAGACAACAGCUCUGAUGAGGAUGACCCCAAGCGCCGAGCAGUCCAAAGCCAGGAGCAAGGACGCCACCUUCGUGGGCUCUUGUAUGAUGAGAUUCCAGUGACGCUGAUUGACAGUGUGCAGACCCGGACAGUUCGAGAUCAUGCCCAGGAGCUAGAUGAUGCUCUAGUGUCCACCCUGCAGGCUCUGGAAGCUCUGGCUGCUUCAGAAGAUGGACCGCACCCCCCACCCCCACAGACUGCAGGUCUGAUUGUGCUGGCCACAAUCACUCCCGAAUCAUCGCUGGACUCGGGCCAUGAAACUAACUCUUCAGAGCUCACAGACAUGUCUGAGAUGAUGUCGGCCAUGAAGCAGCACCAGAAUACCACCUACUUCCUGGCCCAACACCUCAACAAGGACAGCCUCCUUGCCCGCAAGGACCUGCCCUUCCGGAUCCAGAGUUGUGCAGCCCAGGCCGUUCUCACGGCCCCUUACUCUCUUGGGCGCCCGGAUCCCAACUCAUCCCUCCAGCCAACUGUCACAGGCCAGAGUCCUGGCCCCCCAGGGGCUCGGAGAAAGCUGCCCCACUCAGAGACCCAAACACAGGGAGAGCGAUCAUACUCCCUGGCAGUGCACCCAGCGCUGUCUCCACAGCUUAGUGAGCAGAAGAAUCUGAGCCUACUGCCCCCAGUUCCUGAGGACAAAGGGCCUGGCCACACUAAGGCAGGCCUAGAGAUGUCACUGAGAGCAGCCACACCAUCCAUUAGUGAAGAACAGGUCUCGGAGAUGAGAGAGAAUCUGCCUAAGGAGGUCAGGUUGAGCCCCAAGCUUAUCCUGGACCCAAAAGGCAGUGUGACUCCAGCCAUCAUCUCGGCUGCCCUACAACAGGUGGUUCACAGUAAGAGUCUAGCCACUCCUGGCGGGGCUUUGGUGAACCCCCCAAGCAGAGGGGAGAGACAGUUGGAGGCCAGUGGGGGAAGGCCAGAAGUCAGCAUGGGCAGACCAGAAGUUGUUAGCAUGGUGAGCAGCAGCGCCAAUAAGAAUCUGAAGUUUAAAAUGAGCUCCGGUGCUCCAGAGACCUCACGGAAUUCCCAGCAGCAGCUGGGCACAGAGGUCUCCUCCAGCCCCAGAGCACCCCCAGGCAGCCGGGCUGACAGCCUACACCUCUCCCCACAAGAGGAUAGGCUUCCUGUUCCAAGUUUCCCUCCCAAAAGCUAUCAUCUUUCACGAGCAAGUCGAGAGUCAGUGGGCAAGCAAGCUCCAGGGGAGGUGGCAGGCAAGGGUGGAGCAGAGGGUGCAAAGCCUCCGCCACACAAGCAGGGCACUGUCUCCAGCCAGGGAGAGAAGGGGCAACUGGAAAGUACUUCCAAGAGCAGCAAACUUGAGGAGACAAGCCUGGCCCCCCGAGCUGGGUACCCAAUGGCUCUGCAGAGCCCCAGCUGCCAGCCUCGAAGCCACAGCCCUAGCUGCCAGCCCCGUGGUCACAGCCCCAGCAGCCAGUCACGAGGCCAGAGCCCUAGCUGCCAACCUCAAGGCCAGAGUCCAUUAAGGCCACAGGCUAGCAGCCGGCAGGUGAGCACCAUGCCCUCCAGGAAGCUUGAGACGACACUGGAUGGAGCCCACUCAUCCUCUGAAGGUCCCACAAAGCCCAAGUCAUCCCGUGGUCCUUUCCGGCUACGCAAUUUAUUCUCUGCCACCUUCCCCACCCGCCAAAAGAAGGAGACUGACGAGCGACAGGCGCAGCUGCAGAAGGUAAAGCAGUAUGAGCUGGAGUUCCUCGAGGAACUUCUAAAGCCACCAAGCCAGGGGGAGCUACCGGGCACUGAGUACCUGCACCCUCCCGCACCUGGCCGCUGCAGCUGCCAGCUACGCAGCAGCCCCGUGCAACAGGGGCCUGGCAUGUCCCGCGAGCAAAGGCGUAGCUGUGACUGCAAGCGCAUCUGCCGAGGGGGCCGACCACAGGCUGCCCAGACACCGGUGCCUGGCCUCCAGGGGAGGGAGAGGGACAGGGUCCCCCCUACCCAGAGACAGCCAGAGGCUGGCCCAGGCUUGAGCCUUGGUAGCCCCAUCAAUAUCCGACGCAUCCGUUCCACCAGCCUGGAAUCUCGAGAGUGCCGAUCGGACCCAGAAAGUGGUGUUUCGUGCCUGACCACGUGUGCCUCGGGGGGUGAGUGUCUGGGAGCUCCCAACUACAGGAAGCUGAUGCGCCGUUACAGCAUCAGUGAGCUGGACCAAGGUGACAGGGCUUCGCUGACCUCAGAUGUCUACCCACACCCACCCCUGGGCAUGCUGCCCAGGGAGGCCAAGGAGGUAGAGGCAGGCCUCCCCCUAGGCUUGGGUCCCAAAAGCAAGUCUGUGGAAUCACCAACCCUGGGAGACCCCUCAUAUGUCCAGGUUACCCCUGAGACCAAAGGCCCCAGGCCAAUGGCCGUGUUCUCACUGCCAGAGGAGGUGUACCGGAAGCCUGCCGAUCUAGAUGAGGACAGUGAGACUAGCAAGUGCUGCUCCAUUCGCUAUUGCUUCUACUACCGCAAGUGUGAUAUGGCAGAUGAUGCCAGUGAUGGCAAGGAUGAGCUCUCCUACUCCAUCCCCAUGAAGAUUCUGCCUGGCAUGAAGUUGGAUGAGCAGGUGGUGCCUGUAGUAAGCAGGACCCUGCAGGUGCUGGAUGCUGCCACCUGCAGCAGCAGCCCCGAGGCCUCCCGCACCCAGGAGAUUGACCUUCGGGUGUCCACCUUCGAGGGGAGCCUGGCCAAGAUCAAUGCCCUGCGUGCCCAUGCCUAUGGCCUCCCUGAUGGCUUCCUGGCUGCCCGGCUAGAUACCAAUGAACUGCUGACAGUCUUGAGGCAGUGUGUGGCCAGCCCCGAGGCUCGUGCCCCUAAGCCCUAUGUCUCUCAGAUCUCUGAGUACAAGCUGGAGCUAGCUCUCAAGUUCAAGGAGCUCCGGGCCUCCUGCCGCCGGGUGGCCAAUGUGGACAAGAGCCCGACUCACAUGUUGGCAGCCAUCACAGGCAGUUUCCAGGUGCUGAGCAGCCUCAUUGAGACCUUUGUGCGGCUGGUAUUCAUCGUGCGCUCCGAGGCCCAGCGCCAAGAGCUUCUGGCCAAGGUGGAAGAGGUGGUGAGGAAUUACACCUUCCUGCUGCGUGCAGCUGAGGAGUCCACAGCCCGGAACCUUAACCAGCAGCAGCAGCAGCAGGCAGCUGCAGCAGCAGCAGCAGCUACAGGGGCAGCCACAGGGCCCCCACCAGGCUCCCCAACUUCAGCGACUGUUAUGAGCACAUUCACCCGCUCCUUAAAAACCAUUAUUAAGUAGGGCAUCUGCCCAGGCCUGCCCCCGACCCCACCCACAGCCCCAGGUUUGAGCUUUGUGGUCCUUGCAUCUUGUGGUGAGUGUGUGUGUGUGUGUGUGUGUGUGUGUGUGUGUGUGUGUGUGUGUAUGUGUGCGUGUGUGUGCGCGCUGGGCCAAUCAGGGUCCAAGAGCCCAUCAGUCUCCAGGGAGUGAAAAUUCCCUUGACUGGGGCUCUCUCUUAAGGGCUGCAGGCCUAGCUGCCGCCCUGGGUGUCUUCACCCCUUCCCUGGCCUCUUGGUGUCACUGUGAGGGCAGAGGCCCCUCGCCACUACGCUCACCACAGAGCUGUAUUUUAUCUCUUCUCUGGGGCUGAGAGGUGACAUCAGGCUCACUUCCUGCUCCGAGUUGGGCAGCAGGGGAGCCAAGGUCUCAAGCUCCUCCUGGCAUCUGCUCCCUUCCCGGGAACAGUGGUAGUAGCAGUAGGCCACAGCGCCAAGCUGAGGAGAGAGGCGCUCUGUCCAGAUCUGCCCGCCCACCCUUGGGCUCCCGCUCACCAGGCAGGAGCCACCCCAAGGGCCUAUGCCCAGGUGGGUUGUGUGCGGAAAACAGCCGUGCCUGGCUGUCAGUGGCCAGCCCAACAGGCUGGUAGCCUUGGGAGCCCUUGCCCCCAGGUCCAGCAGCUCCACACCAGCCAUCUCCAAAGCACCCUGCCCCUUGCUGAUGGGCAGGGCAGCUCAGUCCACUAGGGAGCAAGCCUCUGGGAUCACCCCACUCGUUGGGUAAGGUACCUGGUGAAAACGUCUGCCCUGGGGAGACCCAGCGCAGGCCUGGGAGUCCACACGGUGCAGCCCAGUCCCAUGCAGGGGCUGUUGCCAAAGGUGUGUGGCUCCUCUUUCGACAUCUCUACCAGACAGACUGUCCUUAGGAGUUGACUUAGCUAUGGUUGGGGUGGGGGGU